CUGGCCUGAACUUAGCAUGUUCUGUGUUAGAUUACUCAGCCUCAACUUGUCUGCUCCACAGAAACUCUCCUCCCUAACCACUGCUUGCUGCUUUCUCUUUCUGAGAACCUAUACCCAAAGUCGCUGUCAGAUAUCAAGAGGAUGAGACUUCAUAAGAAAUCCUAGAAAAGGCCGAGGCCUGUGCCCUGCCCUCAUCCCUGUCUUCUGCCUCCUGACCUCCCUGGUGUUCUUCCACGUGUUCCUGUCCUGCAUGCCCUGCCUGUCUCCUGGCCCUAGGACCUGCAAAAAGAUUCACUCAGUCAUGAAGAAACAAUUUGAGUCUUGUGGAUCAAACUCAGCUGCCUGCUGGUUAGCCAUGGUUACCCACUAGUUUUUGUGAAUGCCAUUUGAAGAAGGGGAGCAUUUUUAGAGAGUGUGAGAGCCAUUUACUCCUUUCAUCAGAGGUA